GCCGCUGGGCUCUGCAGACAUCCCCAGGGAAGGCCCUGAUGGUCAGGCUGGGCAUUUCUGCAGAGGCAUCAGCUGGGGAGAGAGGAUGCUGCUGAGGUCCUGGGUAGGGAAGGAGCUCACCAAGAACCCAGCUAGUAGCAGAUAAGGAAAUGGAGUCCCAGAGAGAUUGCCCAUACCACUGGACACCGCCCGGCCCUGUUCCAGCCGCCGCUCUCCUGAUGGGCCGCGCGGAGGGACUGGAGCCAGGUGAGGUCUGCAGCCGCCACGCCCAUAACGCAGGAAAACACGCAGAAAUCUGCAUGGACACCACCGGCGAUGAGUCCCGGGAACCUGUGCAGAG